GAGCGAUGCAGAUGGUGGGGACCUGACUUGUGAAGUUUCAUAGGGUAGCAAAGACGAACAGAGCUAUUUGAAUGAUAUUUUGAAUUAAGAAUUUGAGGUCCUGGUCAGCUGGAGCUGAAUAAUUGGCUGUGAUUACAAAGAAGCCAGCAUUACUAAGGUGAAAUCUUUGCUUUGCUGGGACAAUCAAUGCCCAUUAGCUAGUGCUGAGAAAUUAGUAGUGAUUAAGAAGAGACCAACAAUGUUGAGGUGGUGACUGUGUCUUUUCCCCAUUGGCUGGAAUCCAACCUCACGGUCUUAGUUUAAUUGGCAAGUCUGAAGUGAAUUGGCCCACAGGAAAUGAAGGAAGAGGGAAAGGUCAUUCUUCCAAGGAGAAAGGAGUCAUCGCUCUAGUCCCUAAAAUUCACGGAAACUGCAGAGGACCUUCCUGUAAACAAAGGUUUUACUGGGCGACAGUGGUGAUUAAAACAUUUGGAGAAAUCUUACAAGAGAUAUUAGCUACACAGAGGAGGCUCUAGGAGAGACUGGGAAAGAAGAGCUCUGUUUCGUGGAGGAUUGCUCUCACAAGUCAGAUAAAGAAGAAGGAUCCACAAAGGAGGGUGUCUCAGCUUCAACAGAGGCCCUGUUGCUUAGGGCAGAAGAAGGCUCAAGACGUCAGCAGUGUCUGGGGCUGGACUGGAUCUGGCUCUGUCCUCAUCAGGUGCUGGAGUCAGACCUGGAGUGGGGACGGGAAUGUGCUCUGGCUAACCGGCUCCCGGGUGGUCUGCCCUGACGUCAGUACAGUUCCCCCCUCCUUCCUCUUUGCUCUGAGAAGUUCAGCGACAUCAUAGCUUCCAGAUGUGGUUUCCAGAUGUGACCUGGAAGAUUUCCAGAGGGAGCAAAGACGCAGAGGCAGCAACAGCUAAGCUCCUGGCUUUUCUCCAACUCUUCCUUCAAUGGCUGCCUCUCCCUGACUUAUAUCACGAGGCCAGUGUAUCAGGCACCCAGAAACCCCGGUGGGUGGGUGGGUAAAUAAAUACCAAUUCCAAAGAAACCUGAUUUGGACAGACACGUCUUUACUCACGUUGGAAAGAAUUUAGUUCUGGACAGCGGAGAACUCUCAGCUGUUUCUGCUGUGAGCAGCCCCAGCGGGUCCAAGGAGGAGGAAGCGAGCUGUCUCCUGUGCUGAGGACCUGCCAGAGCACUGGGCCAGCGGCCAGCUGCGGAAAGCCUCCCCUGAUGGGAACAGCCUGGGCCCCAGUGUCUUAGAGGGAUGAAGCCCCAGUUAUGAACAAAGGUCACAGGUCACUGAAACCAGGUGGGAUUGCUGAGUGGCACUUCUCUAAUGCCCCCACCCGCAUGUCUCAAGCAGACCUGUGCUCAUGUUAAAAAUGCAGAUUCCGAUUGGGUCCAUCUGGGAUGGGGCCUUGGAUUCUGCAUUUAAAAGAUUUUAAU